rnacentral:tRNA from 1 species
UCCUCGGUGGUCCAAUGGUUAAGAAUCUGCACUCCCAAUGCAGGAGACUUGGGUUCAAUCCCUGGUCGGGGAA